UGGGGAAUCUUGCGCAAUGGGCGAAAGCCUGACGCAGCAACGCCGCGUGUGUGAAGAAGGCCUUCGGGUCGUAAAGCACUGUCAGGAGGGAAGAAGAACUGACGGUACCUCCACAGGAAGCACCGGCCAACUCCGUGCCAGCAGCCGCGGUAAUACGGAGGGUGCAAGCGUUGUUCGGAAUCAUUGGGCGUAAAGCGCGUGCAGGCGGCUUGCCAAGUCUGGUGUGAAAGCCCAGGGCUCAACCCUGGAAGGUCACUGGAUACUGGUGAGCUUGAGGCCGAGAGGGGUUUGUGGAAUUCCUGGUGUAGGGGUGAAAUCCGUAGAGAUCAGGAGGAACACCGGUGGCGAAGGCGACAAACUGGAUCGGACCUGACGCUGAGACGCGAAAGCAUGGGGAGCCAACA
rnacentral:rRNA from 1 species